rnacentral:miRNA from 1 species
UAGGGUGGCCAACUGUUCUGGUUUGCCUGGGACUAAGAAAUUGCUCAGGACAAAGGAUUUUCAGUGUUAGAACCAGGAGAGU